AUGGCCCGCCGCCGCAGCCGCAGCCGCCGCCGCGCUCGCCCCGCCUCGCCACCGGCGGCGCUGGAAGACGAAGACCUCCUCCGGAAGAUUUUCCUGCUCCUCCCGCCUCAGCCCUCCACCAUUCCCCGCGUCUCCGUCGUCUGCAAGCAAUGGCGCGGCGUCGUCCGCGACCCCCAAUUCCUCCGCGGCUUCCGCGACCACCACCGGAAACCUCCCCUCCUCGGCCUCGUCAUGGGUCACACCGGGCACCCCUACUUCAGGUCCGAUCUCGACCCUCCAGACCACAUCCCGCACGAGCGCUUCUUCCCUCCAGACAUCCUCAGCAUGUACAUGGACUUGUUCGACUGCCGCCAUGGACGCGUCGUCUUCUUCGACCACCAGCUACGUGAGGUCAUGCUGUUUGACCCCGCCACCGGAGGCCGCCGUCAUGUGGUCGUUCCACCAGUGUUUGACGAGAAGGAUAUUGGCGUCUUCAACGCCGCCGUGAUUUGCGUUGCCGGCGACGAAGGCCACGUGCACGGCGAUUGCCACACCAGCCCAUUUCAGGUGGUCUUGAUAGGUAUCCACGAUGACAAUAAACGAGCAUUUGCCUCUGUCUACUCAUCGGAGACCGGAACAUGGGGCGAGCUCAUCUCAACAGCAGCAAUUCGGUAUAUGCGUGAGCUGAGCCGUCCCAGCACCCUUGUAGGGGAUUCUGUUUAUUGGGUGUUUGAUGGCAAUGAGGAUGGCAUACUCAAGUUUGAUUUAGAUAAGCAUAGCCUAGUUAACAUCGAGAUGCCGGAUUUCGGGGAUUAUAGCUGCUGGAGCAGCUUUAAGAUCAUGUCGACAGAUGAUGGCAGUUUUGGCCUUGCUGCCUUGGAAUACCAAAAAAUCGAAAUGUGGGAGAGGGAAGUCGAUUGUGAUGGUGUUGCUGGAUGGGUGCUGCAGAAGACCUUUCAAAUGAACACGAUCCUUGGUCUAGGGCCUAUGGGAGGAAUGGAUAAUCUCAUGUUGGGGUAUGAUGAAGAUGAUCGUGCGAUUUAUGUAAGGACAGAUAUUGGUGUCUGCAUCAUUCAGCUUGAUACAAUGCAGUUCAGAAAUCUUGGCAAAGAUAAUUUCACGACCACCGCCUAUUAUCCGUACAAAAGUUUCUAUACUGCAGUGAGUGACUUGUCAGUAUGCGAAAGAAGAGUUGGUGGCAUCUCCAGAUCUCUGGCGAAGGAUGAAAGCAUCAUGGUUCCUGCUUCAAGGGGGGCAGGAGCGGCAGGAGACAAUGCCGCAGCUGCUUCGACCCGAACCAUACCAGGAGAUAUGUUAGACAAGUCAAACAGCAGAGUUCAAGGAAUCGAUACAGGUCUUGUGCCAAGCCGGGUACUGACACAAACCCGAAUCGACGUGAUAUUCAAGAAAGAGAUGGAGACAAGAUCAAAGCUUACCAAAGCUUGGGCAAAAUGGUUCCGCAGCAACGGGAUUCCUGAAAGUAAAGCAGACUGCCCACACUUCCGCAAUGCCAUGAAGUUAACGCAGCAGCUAGGUACCCGCUUGCCUGUUCCUACAGGCGGUGAACUAGGGGGCGUAAAUCUGGACGCCGAGGAAGAACUUCCGUAA
rnacentral:rRNA from 1 species